CCUACGGGGGGCAGCAGUAGGGAAUCUUCGGCAAUGGACGAAAGUCUGACCGAGCAACGCCGCGUGAGUGAAGAAGGUUUUCGGAUCGUAAAGCUCUGUUGUAAGAGAAGAACGGGUGUGAGAGUGGAAAGUUCACACUGUGACGGUAUCUUACCAGAAAGGGACGGCUAACUACGUGCCAGCAGCCGCGGUAAUACGUAGGUCCCGAGCGUUGUCCGGAUUUAUUGGGCGUAAAGCGAGCGCAGGCGGUUAGAUAAGUCUGAAGUUAAAGGCUGUGGCUUAACCAUAGUACGCUUUGGAAACUGUUUAACUUGAGUGCAGAAGGGGAGAGUGGAAUUCCAUGUGUAGCGGUGAAAUGCGUAGAUAUAUGGAGGAACACCGGUGGCGAAAGCGGCUCUCUGGUCUGUAACUGACGCUGAGGCUCGAAAGCGUGGGGAGCGAACAGGAUUAGAUACCCGGGUAGUC
rnacentral:rRNA from 1 species